ACCUGCGAGGAACCUAAGGUUCUGGGAAGCCCUUGGGGGACACCUAGAGAGUCGUUAUAGAUCCCUUUGGGGCAUGGAACAUGACGGGACUUGUACGGCUGGAACGGGUUAUGUCGGGGCUCUGGGGUCGCAGGGCAUAUUGGAGAUGGUGGUCCGGCCCUAAAGACGCUCUACGGUGCGCAGAGCAUCACGGGAGAUGAAGUCUCGGCUGCACUGGCGCUCAGUGGAUGCCGCGGUGCAUGAUGGGAGCUGGAGUCCCGAAAGGACCCAUUGCUCGCUGUCAUCCUCACCAGCCCACUCCAUCAUUCCAGAGGCUGGUCCAUCACAGGGGAUGUCCUAAAUCCACUCGGUGCCUGCUUCUUCCCCAGCAGUGCUCACACCCCAGCGCGGAGCGGCUCCUUCCCAGACCUGUCCCAGGUGAACCUAAUGGCCACAAAAAAAGGGAGUUCAUGGCAGCAUGACCAAGGAGGCCAAUUUGUGUUCAUAAUGUCUGUGGCUGCUGGCUGUCUGGCUCAGAAAGGUGUAGAAGCGCUAUUCAAAGAGCUAAAUGCCCAGGAUGCCAGGGUGCAGAGAUGUCCCAGCAGGGGGUUUUUCCCAGCACAAGCAGAAGGAGAGGAAACAAAAAACCAACCUGUAGAAGACCUAAGAAGAGACCUGUGGGAACCCAGAACAUCCCUCUGGCAGUCCAGGAUGGCCAGGACCCAUGCCAGGGGGCUCAAAAGCCCUGGCACGGAGCCCAAAACACCAGUGCAUUUGAUUAUGACCCGUGGAGCAAAUUACCAACCUUAUAUGAAGAUCAGCAGGCCACAACAGUUUAGGUAGAAUAUUAGUCAAGUUAUCACGGGGUGGAAAAGUAGAUUUUGGGGUUUUUGGUAUGGGGGUUCAGGAGGCAAGAUGGAGGGAACUGGGUGUGUCCAGCCUUUCUCCUUCUUCUUCUCGGCCUCCAUCUUCUGCUGUGAUGUUGGCUCUUACUGAUUGGUUUACAGUAGAAGCUCACUGUCUAACAUAGGUGAUGGGUAUUGGAAAGUAAUUGUAAAUAUUGUACACGUAGUUUUUAGUAUAAAGACAUAACACUGCCCCGGGGGCAGGCAGAGUGCCUCAGACUGUCCUGCUGAGCUGACCUCGGCAGGGCAGGAGAAAAUUUUUUAUAGAUAAGAUAAAAUAAACAACCUUGAGGCUGAGAAAUGAAGAGCCCUGACUCCUUUUUCAAGCACCAGGCUGGGAAAAGAGACUUUGAACUUUUCUUGGGGUCACUCUGAGCAGCAAGAGACCCUGAGACAUUGGCGUCCCUGGUGGGCUCCAAGAGGGCACCCAGGUGGGCUCUUGACAAGCAGCCACGCCACAGCCAUCAUCCACUGAAACCCAGCCCGAGAAGGAAAGAAAACAGGCACUCUCAAGGGAAAAAUCCAGAAAGAACAUCUCGACCUCUGCUGAGAAGAUUCAUUUCAACCUUGACCCGGAAAAAGGAGGACCAGAAGCACCCCUGG